GGAGGAGAUAAUGACAGAGUGGAGGAGUGUCUGUAUGCCGGGGCAUUCAGUCUACAGCUUUCCGUCUGGUUCACAGCUUCUCUCUCAGCUCUGCGUCUGUCAUCAUGGACCAGCCUUUUCGUGGAUUAUUAAUAAUUGUUUUCCUGCUGCAGAUGGACUGUUUGUUCUCCGUUUACAUCAGCGGCGGGGCAGAUUCUCUCCAUCAGGUCCUGUCUGAGUUCAGCAUCAUUCAUCCAAUCAGAACUGACUCAAAGGGGCGUGUCCUGUCUGCCACAGUCUCCACCCACCAACGAAAUAGAAGACACGCCACUUCAACAACAGACACUCCCACUGACUCAAACGAUGUCAGAAGGACUGAAAAAGACAUUUUACAACAGGCUCCACCUAUUCUGACAUCAUCAUUUAGUGAUAGCUGGUGGGGGCGGAGUGAAGAGGCUGAAGAUGGAGACGAGCUGUUCUACAACCUGACAGUGUUCGGUCACGACCUCCACCUGCGACUGCGUCCUAACUCUCGCCUCAUUGCCCCUGCCGCCACCAUGGAGUGGGAGGAGUCAGGGCACCUUCGCUCUGAACCAAUCAGGAACACCGGCUGCUUCUACACAGGAACUGUGAGCAACAUGGAGGACACAUCCGUCGCCAUCAGCAACUGUGAUGGACUGGCUGGGAUGAUCCAAACAAGUGAAGAAGAGUUCUUCAUUGAACCAUUGGAGCGAUGGAGGCCAGUAGAAGAAGAGGGGGACAAAGAUAAAAGAAGAAGACAGCAUAUUAUUUAUCGCUCUUCAGCUAUCAUCAGGAAACACUUAGAUGUCAAUCAAACUAAAGCUUUCAAUCAAACCACAAAUGACUUCUUUCAAGGUCCUCUGUUGGGCUCUCUGAACUUGACCCAGAACGUGGUCUCAUCCAGAUCCAGGUCUGCUCGCCGGCGCCGCCACACAGUGGAGGCUGAACUCUUUAACAUUGAGGUCUUGCUGGCAGUGGAUUAUUCUGUUCUUCUUUUCCACGGCAGAGACCACAUCCAGAAAUAUCUCCUGACACUGAUGAACAUAGUUAAUGAGAUCUAUCAGGAUCAUUCUCUGGGGGCCAACAUGAACGUUGUCCUGGUCAGAAUCACCAUGCUGUCUCCAGCAAAGUCCCAGGAGCUGAUCUCUGUGGGGAACCCUCAAAAGAGUCUGGAGAACGUUUGUGGAUGGUCAUACCACCAACAGAGGGAGCAGAGUCAUGCCGAGCAGCACGACCAUACCAUCUACCUGACCAGGCAGGAGUUCGGCCCCUUCGGCAUGCAAGGUUAUGCUCCAGUUACAGGGAUGUGUCACUUGCAUCGGAGCUGCGUUCUCGUCUUAGAGGAUGGCUUUUCAUCGGCUUUUGUAGCUGCGCAUGAAACAGGACAUGUGUUAGGUAUGGAGCAUGACGGUGAGGCCAAUGACUGUGCUGAUGAUGUGCCGUUGGGCAGCAUCAUGUCUCCGCGGGUCCAGGCCACCUUCUAUCGUUACCACUGGUCCAGGUGCAGCUGGAGGGAGCUGCACAUGUACCUGCACACCUACGACUGCCUGCGGGACGACCCCUUCAACCACGAGUGGCCGACUCAGCCUCAGCUUCCGGGCUUUCAGUACUCCAUGGAACAGCAGUGUCGCUUCGACUUCGGGCCGGGAUACAGCCUGUGUACCGCGUACACGACCCCUGACCCCUGCAAACAGCUGUGGUGCAGCGACUACCACAACCCGCUCUUCUGUAAGACCAAGAAAGGCCCGCCGCUCGACGGGACCAAGUGUGGACCUGGGAAGCACUGCUUCAAAGGGUUCUGCAUCAAGCUGACGUCAAACCUCCUGAGACAAGAUGGCAGCUGGGGGACAUGGAGCUCGUAUGGCAGCUGCUCCCGGACCUGCGGGUCUGGGAUCCAGUUCCGAACCAGACGCUGUGAUAACCCACCUCCAGCCAACGGGGGGCGCUCCUGCUUCGGUAACAGCUAUGAGUUCCAGCUGUGCAGCACCGAGAACUGCCCCCCCCUGACUGACUUCAGGGAGGAUCAGUGUAAAGUCUGGAAUCCAGUUUUUGAGCAUGAAGGACUAAAACAUCACUGGCUGCCUUACCAGCAUCCUGAUCCUGACGAGCGCUGCCGUCUGUACUGUCGGUCCAAAGAGACGGCGGCCGUGGUGUCCAUGAACAGGAUGGUGCAUGAUGGGACGCCGUGUUCCUAUGACGACGCCCACAGCGUCUGCGUCCGAGGAGAGUGUGAGCAUGUGGGCUGUGAUGGUCAGAUCGCUUCGGACCAGCAGGAGGAUCGAUGUGGGGUAUGUGGAGGAGAUAAUUCCAGCUGUAAAGUCAUCAAGGGAAAUUUCACUCGCAGCACCAAGAAAGAAGGUGAUCUGAACCAGAACCAGAACCAGACCUGGUUCCAUCCAGACCACUUUUUAACCCUGCACACUAAAAGAAAACUCCAUGGUUACUGGUGUCCUAUAGAAACACUUUCCACACAUGUUUCAGGUUACCUGAAGAUUCUGGAGAUCCCCAAAGGAGCCCGACACCUGCUGAUCCAGGAGUUUAAAGGGACUCCUCACAUCCUGGCUGUGAAGAACCAGGAAACGGGUCAUCUCUUCCUCAAUUAUGAAGACGAGCUUCCUGAAACCAGAGUGGUAAUCGAGAAGGGAGUGGUCUGGGACUACAACAACACAAGUGAACAGGAGUUCCUGCAGACCACUGGGCCACUGAAGUACGGGGUUCUGCUCAUGGUCCGUUCCCAUGGCGACUCCAAGGUAACAGUAUCCUAUAAGUACAUAAUUGAGGAUCACCUGCGGUCGUCGCUGGAGUCCAACUUGGUGCAGGAGGAUGCCAUUUUCUACGAGUGGGCACUGAAGAAGUGGUCUCACUGUUCCAAACCCUGUGGAGGAGGAAAACAGUACACGAGGUUUGGAUGCAGGAGAAAGGCUGAUGGGAAAAUGGUUCAGAGGAUAUUCUGUGCCAACAUCAACAAGCCAAGAGCCAUCAGCCGCAAGUGCAACACCGAGACCUGCAGGCCGCCACGCUGGGUGAGCGGAGACUGGGAGGACUGCAGCGCCUCCUGUGGCCAGACCGGGUGGCAGCGGCGCUGGGUCAGCUGCCAGCAGGAGUCCAGCAGCGGGAAGCAGCAACGCUCCGUCAACAGCAAGUUCUGCAGCAACGAUCGGCCAGAGUCCAAACAGAUCUGCAACCGGUUCCCCUGCCCCGCCGCCUGGAGAACCGGGCCCUGGACUCCGUGUUCGGCGUCUUGUGGAAACGGGACUCAGGAGCGUCAGGUUGCGUGUUUGAAUCCUGAAGGCUCAGCUGGAAACUGCAGCAACCGUCAACCAAUCAGGACACGCACAUGCCAGGCCCCGCCCUGCAGCGGCUACCAGAAGAACGCCAUCAUCCUGUGGCUGUCCAGGUCCAACCCAAACUUCCCAGCAACACAGAACUUCUCCAGGCAGCGUUGCCAUGGUGACCGCUCUGUAUUUUGUCGGAUGGAGGUGUUGAGUCGGUACUGCUCCAUCAACGGAUAUCGACAGAUGUGCUGCAAAUCCUGCAGUGAAAAAAGAUUCAGCAACACUGAGAACGUCAACAGUUCUAGCAUCUCAAACGGCCAUAACAGAACCACCAGCUCCACCAGCUCCACCAGCUCCAGCAGCAUUACUCCAGCAAUGGACAGCAGCAGUUAUGUAAAAGUGACCGAGACCAUGACUUCUGUGACCUCAACAACCGCAUCAAACAUUGGCCAUGUGAUCAGUGGAACUCCUCCCAUUGUCCCCCAGACGUCUCCCCCCACCAGCAGGAGCAGCACUGACUUCAUCUACGUGGAGUACGAUGAUUAUGAGGAGUAUUCCUCAUACGGGGACCUAUCUCUUCUCUCUGUGACGCCAGUUACCAUGACAACUGUGAUUUCUGCUGUCACCAGUACUACCAGUACUACAGCCACUGCUACCACCAUGUCACCGAUGCGUCCAAGAAAAACUGCUCCACUGCACUUUUUCAAGAAGAAAACUCCCAUAAUGCCACUGGUUACAGUUCCCAUGGUAACUGAAAACAAAACAGCGGCGCCUGUCAGGAAGCCUGCUGUUCCAGAUAUCCCCACCACGGCGUCAGAUGAUGACAUCAUCAAUGCCUCCUCAUAUGGACUGAAGCUCCAAACUGAAAUCCCUCUGACAGAAUCGGAACCGUCGUCUUCAUCUUUCCUGUUGUCCAAGAAAGAGAACAAUUCGGUGGACGAGGUCCAGUACCGCAUCGUGGGGAUGGACGGAGAUGCCACCAGAGACCAGCACAACUACUUUGUGCCGCGGAUGCCGCCAAUGCGCGAGCGAACUCAGAACCAGCGCAUUCAGCAGCUCCUGAGGGAAAAACGAGUCCAGAACCUCCUGAGCAGGAUGAACAGAACCAGACUGAGCCGGGCCGACAGGAAACACUGAUCUGGCCAGUUUGCUUCUGCUGCCUCAGCUACCUUCUGCUAAUGCUAACAGAGCAUCAGAAACUGACCGGAACCACGUCCAGCAACCAGAACGUGGACUUCAGAGAACUGCAGCCAAUCAUAAACCAGGAACGUCCCAUGCUGAGACCUCCUCCCCCUCCAGCCUUUCUGGUUUCCGCCGCCAGGAUGAGGUCUGGACUCUGACUGGACCACGCUGAGACCUCCUCCCCCUCCAGCCUGUCUGGUUCCUGAGUCUGGAUAAGGUCUGGACUUUGGCUGGACCACACUGAGACCUCUACCCACUCCCACUUCAGCCUGUCUGGUUCCUGAGUCUGGAUAAGGUCUGGACUUUGGCUGGACCACACUGAGACCUCUACCCACUCCCACUUCAGCCUGUCUGGUUCCUAGAGUCAGGAUGAGGUCUGGAUUCUGACUGGACUACGCUGAGGCCUCCUCCCCCUUCAGCCUGUCUGAGUUAGGAUGAGGUCUGUUUCACAUUGCAAUGCUUCAAUGCGUUUUGAAACUGAAG